AACGAACGCUGGCGGCAGGCCUAACACAUGCAAGUCGAACGCCCCGCAAGGGGAGUGGCAGACGGGUGAGUAACGCGUGGGAACGUGCCCUUCGGUUCGGAAUAACCCAGGGAAACUUGGGCUAAUACCGGAUACGUCCGUAAGGAGAAAGAUUUAUCGCCGAAGGAUCGGCCCGCGUCGGAUUAGCUAGUUGGUGGGGUAAUGGCCCACCAAGGCGACGAUCCGUAGCUGGUCUGAGAGGAUGAUCAGCCACACUGGGACUGAGACACGGCCCAGACUCCUACGGGAGGCAGCAGUGGGGAAUAUUGGACAAUGGGCGAAAGCCUGAUCCAGCCAUGCCGCGUGAGUGAAGAAGGCCUUAGGGUUGUAAAGCUCUUUCAGCGGGGAAGAUAAUGACGGUACCCGCAGAAGAAGCCCCGGCUAACUUCGUGCCAGCAGCCGCGGUAAUACGAAGGGGGCUAGCGUUGUUCGGAUUUACUGGGCGUAAAGCGCGCGUAGGCGGGUCGCUAAGUCAGGGGUGAAAUCCCGA
rnacentral:rRNA from 1 species